AGAGUUUGAUCCUGGCUCAGGACGAACGCUGGCGGCGUGCCUAAUACAUGCAAGUAGAACGCUGAAGGAGGAGCUUGCUUCUCUGGAUGAGUUGCGAACGGGUGAGUAACGCGUAGGUAACCUGCCUGGUAGCGGGGGAUAACUAUUGGAAACGAUAGCUAAUACCGCAUAAGAGUAGAUGUUGCAUGACAUUUGCUUAAAAGGUGCAAUUGCAUCACUACCAGAUGGACCUGCGUUGUAUUAGCUAGUUGGUGGGGUAACGGCUCACCAAGGCGACGAUACAUAGCCGACCUGAGAGGGUGAUCGGCCACACUGGGACUGAGACACGGCCCAGACUCCUACGGGAGGCAGCAGUAGGGAAUCUUCGGCAAUGGACGGAAGUCUGACCGAGCAACGCCGCGUGAGUGAAGAAGGUUUUCGGAUCGUAAAGCUCUGUUGUAAGAGAAGAACGAGUGUGAGAGUGGAAAGUUCACACUGUGACGGUAUCUUACCAGAAAGGGACGGCUAACUACGUGCCAGCAGCCGCGGUAAUACGUAGGUCCCGAGCGUUGUCCGGAUUUAUUGGGCGUAAAGCGAGCGCAGGCGGUUAGAUAAGUCUGAAGUUAAAGGCUGUGGCUUAACCAUAGUACGCUUUGGAAACUGUUUAACUUGAGUGCAAGAGGGGAGAGUGGAAUUCCAUGUGUAGCGGUGAAAUGCGUAGAUAUAUGGAGGAACACCGGUGGCGAAAGCGGCUCUCUGGUCUGUAACUGACGCUGAGGCUCGAAAGCGUGGGGAGCGAACAGGAUUAGAUACCCUGGUAGUCCACGCCGUAAACG
rnacentral:rRNA from 1 species